rnacentral:rRNA from 1 species
GUGUCAGCAGCCGCGGUAAUACGGAGGGUGCAAGCGUUAUCCGGAAUCAUUGGGUUUAAAGGGUCCGUAGGCGGAUUAAUAAGUCAGAGGUGAAAUCCCACAGCUUAACUGUGGAACUGCCUUUGAUACUGUUAGUCUUGAGUUAUAUGGAAGUAGAUAGAAUGUGUAGUGUAGCGGUGAAAUGCAUAGAUAUUACACAGAAUACCGAUUGCGAAGGCAGUCUACUACGUAUAUACUGACGCUAAUGGACGAAAGCGUGGGGAGCGAACAGGAUUAGAAACCCCUGUAGUCC